rnacentral:rRNA from 1 species
UACAGAGGUCUCAAGCGUUUGUUCGGAUUUAUUGGGCGUAAAGAGCGUGUAGGCGGCUUGGUAGGUCCGCUGUGAAAACUCGAGGCUCAACCUCGAGACGUCGGUUGAAACCGUAAGGCUAGAGUCCGGAAGAGGAGAGUGGAAUUCCCGGUGUAGCGGUGAAAUGCGCAGAUAUCGGGAAGAACACCCGUGGCGAAGGCGGCUCUCUGGGACGGUACUGGACGCUGAGACGCGAAAGCGUGGGGAGCGAACAGG